rnacentral:lncRNA from 1 species
AACUCAAUCGAUUAAUUGGACAUAAUCAUCACAAAUCGAACCUAUUUUCAGCAAUUAACAGCCCCAAAAUGGCAAUAAUCACUUACCCUAGAAUGUAAACAACACCCUCACAAGCUUAAUCUGCCAGAAAAUUAAUCCUUUAAUGACCUUCACCAAGAAAACCAAACCGAUUAACAACGGAAAACGCGGCAUCCAAACCCCACUUAACCAAGAAUGACAAAAGGAAACUUCAAUAAUAGAAGAAAUAAAAAAAUAAAAAAAUAAUAGAUGGUAUUUACGCAAGAAUCGAGUUUUAAACAAUUCAAUUAAACCCUCACCACCAAAUAUGAAACAUAUAGCAAGAG